UCCGAAGGGUGCAAGCGUUACUCGGAAUUACUGGGCGUAAAGCGCUCGCAGGUGGUUCGUUGCGUCGUGCGUGAAAGACCCCGGCUCAACUGGGGAGCGUCGUGCGAUACGGGCGGACUGGAGGCCAGUAGGGGGAUGCGGAAUUCCGGGUGUAGUGGUGGAAUGCGUAGAGAUCCGGAGGAACACCAGCGGCGAAGGCGGCAUCCUGGACUGGUCCUGACACUCAUGAGCGAAAGCGUGGGGAGCGAGCCGG
rnacentral:rRNA from 1 species